AGGCUUGUGAUCCUAGUCAGUCUAAAUAAGUUCAUGUGAAUUAAUUCAAGUGGUCUAGAAGUUAAAACUAUAUUUUUAGAUUUGAAACUCCCCCUAGUUUAUUUUUCUAGUUGACAAGCAUCGCAAAUAUGAUCAUAUUUAAAUCUUUACUUGAGUAAUUUUUUAACUAAAUCAUUUAAAGUUAAUUUAGAUAAAAUAUGCAUACUAGCAUGUCUUAAUCUAUGAUGCCAUAACCAACUAGUUUCUUUGAUCUUAGUAUUAUUAGCAAUAAGAUAUUGGCCAUUCUUUAUGGCUAUCUUAUUGAGAUCAACUAAGUAGAUGUUGUCAUGCCU
rnacentral:lncRNA from 1 species